CUCAGUUGUUUAAGGUGCUGUGUUUCUUCAGCACUGGGUAUGCAGGACCCAUCAGCCUGACACGCUGUAUGAACUGUACUGCUGUUUAUAUAAACCUUUUCAUGAUGCAUUUAGGAAGAUUGUUCCCAUGUUCAGGAAAAAGGAGAGAACAUGGUGCUUCAGUGUGGGUCUGGCCUUGGCAGAGCAAGAAGCAACUGUUUCACUUGCAGACAGGAUACCAGCCCUGCUUCUUUGAAAUGCCACCUAUCCACACCUGCAGGAAAUCAGUUGGAAGGGCUGUUUCCAACAGGCAAGCUCAAAACAGACAACUCUUCAUAGGAAAAGCUGUUUUUCACCACCAAAGUUCAUUCAUUCAUGGCUUGUAACAGCUUAAUGUGUAUCAGUGUACUGACUGCUUACUUGAGCAUCAGGUGGCAGGCCUGGCUGAAGCGCUGCAGAUUCUGUCAUUCAAAAUGAAACUGUUUGCUAAAAAACACUGAUAUAGUCCUUAAAGUAUAAUUGCAUCAGUAUGGCACAUUACUCUCUUUCAAGUACAAUGUCUGGAUUGCAAAAUAAACAUUUUUUUUUCCUUU